rnacentral:rRNA from 1 species
CGCGUAGGUGGUAGUGUAAGUCUGGGGUGGAAUCCCAGGGCUUAACCCUGGAACUGCCUUGGAAACUGCAUUACUUGAGUCAGUGAGGGGAGGGUAGAAUUCCUGGUGUAGCGGUGAAAUGCGUAAAUAUCAGGAGGAAGGCCUGUGGCGAAGGCGGCCCUCUGGCGCUGGACUGACACUGAGGCGCGAAAGCGUGGGGAGCAAACAGGAUUAGAUACCCUGGUAGUCCACGCCCUAAACGGUGGGCACUAGGUGUAGGGCUCGUAAGGGUUCUGUGCCGAAGGGAACCAUUAAGUGCCCCGCCUGGGGAGUACGGCCGCAAGGUUGAA